UUUUUUUUUUGAUCUUAAUAUUUAUAUCUCCACGUUUUAUUUUUCCCCUUGUUUUGAGGGGGCUUUUAUUUUCCUUUUGUUUUUAAAACUUUAUCCUUGUAUAUCACAAUAAUGGAAAGAAAGUUUAUAGUGUCCUUUCACAAAGGAGCGUAGUUUUAAAAUUCCAUUUAAAAUAUGUAUUUAUUGGGUUUUUUUAAAGCAACAAUAGUAAUGGGUUACAGGUGGGCAGGAAAGGCCGGCAGUGCUUCCUGCCUGGCAAGCCCAGCCUCCUGGGGGCUGCAGGCUCUCUCAGCCAUCUGCCCCACAAACCAAGGUUAGCAUGUAGCCCUGGUCUAUCCCUCCUUCCCACAGGCUGGGGAGCCUUUUGGGACCACCCCGUUCUCCUCUGUGGAAUGGGGGAAGCUGCAGACAUCUGGGGGCCUGGCCUGGAAAUGCUGGUGUUAGAUAUCCCCAGAAACCAGGUUGGAAGUAGACAGCUUCAAGCUUGCUAGUCUCCACACUGAAUCCUCUCUGUCCGUUAUUUACCAAGUCAUAUGAUGUCCUGGUUCGCUAGGCAGCACCUCAAGCUGGAGCAGGAGUCGAGAGGCUCCGAGGAGCUCUUCUCGUCCCGUUGAUAAAGCCGGUGAGUACUGGGCCGAAAGGAAGCUUAGUGGCAGUUUUCUUAAAAAUCGCCCCAAAGUUUGUCGAUACUGAAAAAGGGCUACUGUAUCUAUAGAAUCAAGAAGUUGAACCCAAGCUGUGAAGAGCCAGUGUGCUGUACGGUGCUCUGCGGGUGCUCUGCGGUGCUGUGUGGUGCUGGAGCCUGGUGCUGUAGUAGUGCGCUGGGACUUUUCUGACUCUCGGGGCAGGUGGCAUCCUGCCGGAGCUCAGCCAGCCAAUGUGAUGGCAGGUCACGCAUCGUCCUUAUUCCUGGAUCUUCACACGGGACAAUGGUGCAGCCCUUGCAGGGCAUGGCCUACACUUCAUUUAAAGUGCAAGGGUCAGGCGUUUUCAACAGGUUGCUAUGCUUUUCCUCCUUCAAGGGGGCCAGUUCUCCAUUGGAUCUUUUCUCUCCUCCCUCUCCCUUCUCCACCUCCCCUGAAACACGCCCAUCCUAAAAUCCUGGUGCAUUCAUUCAGCUCUUUGAAAAUGAGAACGUUGGUGCUUUAAUUUCUGUGACAUUGAGAGGUUGGGCCUGACAGGUGGCAGCGGCAGUGGCAGUGGCAGUGGCAGUGGCGUGUCUGCAGCAGGUCAGUCCUCAAGAGUGUUUUUCAGAAGCCGUUAGCCGUGUAGUCAGGCUGCCCGUGCGUGCGAACGUGUGUGGUGAGUGGGGGGGCUUCAUCAGGACACACACAGUGGCAGCCGAGCCCUGAGACAGCAGUUAGCACGUGGCUCUAGCCAGGUUUGGUCUUAAUAAACUGAGCGUAGCAAUCCCAUGACAAUGCUGAAGGCAGGUCCGAGUCCCCAAGCUUCGCGGUGCCUUGUGCCAGAGCCGAGAGCCGAGCGGCCGGGUGUUGACUAGAGCCCUUCGGAAGCGCUGGCAGAGAGUGGCUAAAAAGGUGUCCUGAGCAUUUUUGUGGUCUGGUUUUAACUGUAAAUAGUGAAAGAUUUUUUUAAGCACUUUUGCCUAGAUUUAAACAGCAACUUGAAAAGAAUAAAAAGUACAUUUUAACCUGUAAUUGUGGGAGAGACUGUAAAUAGUAGCUGAAUAUUUAAUGUGCUUUGUCAAUCCACCUUUACCAUAGUCUGUAAAGUUGCAAUUAUUUUACAGGACAAAAAAAAUGAAAUUAUUAUUGCUUUUGAAAUAAAUACCCAAGAGCUUAUCAGGACUUAGAAUUAUUCAGAAUUCAGAUUUAUAGGAAGGCCUCUGACCCUCUGUUUGACAAGCUAAAGAGUCAGAGGCUUUAAGGCGCAUGCUAAUUGCUAAUUUUCUAGUUUUGAGGGAGAGUUGGGUCCUUUAAAUGCUAUUUUGCUAUCUAUCGCAUCAGUGCUUUUACACAGGUCUCAUCUGACUCCGUGCUUAGGUAGAUGCGGGGGUGCCUUGAAAAACUUCAUUUUAAAUAAUCUUAAAUAUGAUAUUUUACAAAGCAUUUGGAGAAUGUGACCGUGUAUAUGGCCCAUGGAAGCCCCAGGUUGGCUGAUGGCUUGCGAGGUCCUGAGCGUGGCCCAGGUGAUACUGUUGCUGGCAGUGUGUGGAUCUCUCGGACGUGAAUUCAGUAUGCUCCAAACCUCCUCACCCUUUGGUAGCAAAGCCAUUAUUAGAUGAAUGGAGAAACCAGUACAAGCUAAAAAGCAUGUGAUGUCCAUCCCCCAAGCCUGCACAGCCUUUGUUCAUGAGCUCUAGACCAGGAAGCAGGCUGCCGUGAGGUGAGGCAGGCAAGAGGCUUUCCACGUUGGCCCUUCAGGUCCGAGCGAGCGAGCGAGCGAGCGCUGUUUCGGGGCUCUGCGCCGCGGCUGUGCUUGAGCCCGUGCUGACUUUCACACACUACAUGUAUAACCUACCUCAAAUCUGUCACUGAAUUGAGCAUGCUUUAGACAUGUAUUUAAGACGUAACUAUGCACAGUUCUAUAUCCCCCAUCCCUUGCUGCUGAAGGCUUCUUAAAGAGAAAAAUCAAAAUUUUUAUUUUUACUGGCACUAUCAUUUUUUAAGUCCUGAAGAUGAUUGACAAGACAUUUUUAUCAUGAGAAGAAAAAAAUAAAUAAAUAAAGCCAUUGCAACUCAAGAACCUGACGGCACGAGCAAGUUUUAAGAGUAGUGUUAUAGCCGGGAAGAUGAUGGCUUCGGAGUCUGCUCCCAGGGUGCCCGUCUGUCCGUCCGUCCGUCCGUCCGUCCAUCCGUCUCCACAGUCCACAGGCAGUGCAAGCGUUUGGUGCCCCGCCCCCAGCUUUGUUUCCUUCCGCCUUGUUUUUGUUGUCCCUGCCUGCUGUGUGCAAGAGGACUUUUGAAGUUCUGACCUGAGAGAUUUUCUUUUAGAAUAUAAGUCAUUUGCAGCAGGAGCUCACAAAAUAACUGGAGAAACCACCUGUCAGUAGCAACACUGAGGGUCUCACGGGGAUUGGGGGAGGGGUCAGUUUGAAGUCUGGUUUUUAGUGGGGACCGAGCAGCCCAGCCCAGCCCUCCAGGGUGCUGCUUUGCCUCUUUGCUGUGGUGGCCCUGGCCCAUGGGAAGGGACUCUGCCUUCUCUGGCCCUCCCACCUGCUGCUUUAAAGAAACAGUAGUUUGCAGAGCUAGGGGUUGUUAGUGCUGAGCGACAGAAGUCGAAGGGCUUUGUUGCUCCAUAGCUGAUGGCGGUGGAUGUGUGAGUGGUCUGACAGUAGCUGAAAAUCCAGUGUCACAGAGCGAGGAGACUUGACUGCCUCAGAUGUCAAAGCAAGGCCAAGCUGGUGGGAAACUGAUAUAUCCCUGAUGUGCCUCAACCGAUCUCUUUUGUUACUGAAGUGUGUUUUCUGGACUUGGAAGCAUUUUUAUGAAUUGAAAUAGUCUAAUAAAUGGUGCUAUGGUGUUUCAAUGUGACUGUCCCUGAUCUUGUCUCCCUGAGGUGCUAUCAACGUUUGAAACCACAACCAACCAAAAAAACGAGGUGGGCCCCGUCUCUCGGCUUUUCUUCCCUCUUUUGGUGCUGUCUUUGUGGACCUCUGUUUACCGCGUUGUGUCUGCUCUGAGCAGGGUUCUGGGU
rnacentral:lncRNA from 1 species